rnacentral:rRNA from 1 species
UACAGAGGUCUCAAGCGUUGUUCGGAUUCAUUGGGCGUAAAGGGUGUGUAGGUGGCGCCGUAAGUCGGGUGUGAAAUUUCGGAGCUUAACUCCGAAACUGCAUUCGAUACUGCGGUGCUUGAGGACUGGAGAGGAGACUGGAAUUCAUGGUGUAGCAGUGAAAUGCGUAGAGAUGCGGAGGAACACCGAUGGCGAAGGCAGCCCCCUGGGCCAAUACUGACGCUCAGGCACGAAAGCGUGGGGAGCAAACAGG